rnacentral:rRNA from 1 species
CCUACGGGAGGCAGCAGUGGGGAAUCUUGCGCAAUGGGCGAAAGCCUGACGCAGCCAUGCCGCGUGUAUGAUGAAGGUCUUAGGAUUGUAAAAUACUUUCACCGGUGAAGAUAAUGACUGUAGCCGGAGAAGAAGCCCCGGCUAACUUCGUGCCAGCAGCCGCGGUAAUACGAAGGGGGCUAGCGUUGCUCGGAAUUACUGGGCGUAAAGGGAGCGUAGGCGGACAUUUAAGUCAGAGGUGAAAUCCCGGAGCUUAACUUCGGAACUGCCUUUGAUACUGGGUGUCUUGAGUGUGAGAGAGGUAUGUGGAACUCCGAGUGUAGAGGUGAAAUUCGUAGAUAUUCGGAAGAACACCAGUGGCGAAGGCGACAUACUGGCUCAUUACUGACGCUGAGGCUCGAAAGCGUGGGGAGCAAACAGGAUUAGAUACCCUGGUAGUCCACGCCGUAAACGAUGAUUGCUAGUUGUCGGGAAGCUUGCUUCUCGGUGACGCAGCUAACGCAUUAAGCAAUCCGCCUGGGGAGUACGGUCGCAAGNUUAAAACUCAAAGUUANAGUAGCGNGNGNGNGCGCGAGACGACGAGGAGGAGGAG